GACGAACGCUGGCGGCGUGCUUAACACAUGCAAGUCGAACGGAAAGGCUCUGCUCUUGCGGGGUCCUCGAGUGGAGACCGGGUGCGUCACACCUGAGUCACCUGCCCUUGACUUUGGGCUAACUUCAGGAAACUUGGGCUCUUCCCCGAUAGGAGCUCCUGAUGCAUGGUGGUGGUUGGUACGUUUCGUCGGUUGGUGAUGGACUCGCGGUUUACCAGCCUGUUGUUGGGGUCGUGGCUUACCAAGCCUUUGACGUGUCGUCGGCCUGAGACGGUGACCGGCCACAUUGAGACAGAGAUACGGCCCGGACUCCUACGGGAGGCAGCAGUGAGGAAUAUUGCACAAUGGGCCGAAGCCUGAUGCAGCAACGCCGCGUGCGUGAUGACGGCCUUCGGGUUGAAGACCGCUUUCGCCUGUGACGAAGCGUGAGUGACGGUAAUGGGUAAAGAAGCACCGGCUAACUACGUG
rnacentral:rRNA from 1 species